rnacentral:rRNA from 1 species
UACGAAGGGGGCUAGCGUUGUUCGGAAUCACUGGGCGUAAAGCGCACGCAGGCGGAUUGAUAAGUCAGGGGUGAAAUCCCGGAGCUCAACUUCGGAAUUGCCUUUGAUACUGUCUGUCUUGAGUCCGGGAGAGGUGAGUGGAAUUCCUAGUGUAGAGGUGAAAUUCGUAGAUAUUAGGAAGAACACCAGUGGCGAAGGCGGCUCACUGGCCCGGUACUGACGCUCAUGUGCGAAAGCGUGGGGAGCAAACAGGAUUAGAUACCCUGGUAGUCCACGCCGUAAACGAUGGAUGCUAGCCGUCGGGGAGCUUGCUCUUCGGUGGCGCAGCUAACGUAUUAAGCAUCCCGCCUGGGGAGUACGGUCGCAAGAUUAAA